rnacentral:rRNA from 1 species
CCCUUAGAUGUUCUGGGCCGCACGCGCGCUACACUGAUGCAUUCAACGAGCCUAUCCUUGACCGACAGGUCCGGGUAAUCUUUGAAUCUGCAUCGUGACGGGGAUAGAUUAUUGCAAUUAUUAAUCUUCAACGAGGAAUGCCUAGUAGGCGCAAGUCAUCAGCUUGCGUCGAUUACGUCCCUGCCCUGUGUACACACCGCCCGUCGCUCCUACCGAUUGGGUGUGCUGGUGAAAUGUUCGGAUCGGCCGUUUGUCGCGGUUUCCGCGUCAUGUGGCUGAGAAGUUCAUUAAACCCUCCCACCUAGAGGAAGGAGAAGUCGUAACA